AUCGAUAAUUGAGCAGUUCCAUCUCUAAUUUGCGCGCGAAAAACUUUUAAUAACAAUGGAUGUGGAUUUACUGCCUCUGCGAAAGCGAAUAACAAACACUUUCAAGCUAUGUGGCUUCCUCAUCCGCUCGGAGAACAGUUCCUACCUGGCAGAGCAGCUGCUGCCCUUCGACGCCGCGGAACGGGACAAGUGGCUGACGGUGAUCACCGAGAAUCUGCAAAGCCAAAAGCUUCUGACGCCCCAUGUGGAGCGGGCCGCCCUGGAGAAGGCCAUCAAUGAGCUAAACCGGGUGGGAUUGGAUGAAGGGGAGACGGUAUUUGCCCUGAUCGAUGCGUUUACGGUGCCCCGUUUCCGGUACAACCAGCGGGUCAAGAAAUUCGAACUGGACACACAGCCGCGCCAGUUGCUGACCGCUCCUCGCAUGAAAUCGGACUACAUGCAGCAACGAUAUGCCAUGUUACUACAGAAAACGCUGCGACACGACCUCUUCGCACCCGCCGUCAUCCAGGAUGGCGUUGGAGCCGAGGCCCAGGCUAAGAAAUUUAAGCUCCAGUUCGCUGAGAAUCUGCUGGCCACCUCGACGAUGCGGGAGGCCGUGGUUUUGGGACUGCUUACCCAACUGAAGGAGGGCAAGUUCUAUGUCGAGGAUCCAACGGGAUGCGUGCAGUUAGAUCUCACUGGUGCCCGUUUCCAUGCUGGCUUCUUCUGCGAGGGCUGCUUCGUUUUGGCGGAGGGCCACUAUAACAACGGUGUGCUCAAGGUUGACGGCCUGGGCUUUCCACCCGCGGAGCCGGCAAGCAGCAGUCGAGCGUUCUUCGGCACCGCCAACACCUGGGGCGGUGAGUCUGCUAAGCUGCUGAAGUACUCGGCCGGACUGCAGGAACUGGAGCGCACCAACACAGAAACAACCAUUGUUUUCCUUUCCGACGUUCGCUUGGAUCUGCCAGUUGUCAUGGACAAGCUGCGUCAGUUGUUCGUCGGCUACGAUUCCUGCCCGCCGCAGGCUAUUGUGCUCAUGGGUCCAUUCACGGCCAGCACAAGGAAUCAUCAUGAGCUGAGGCAUCACCUGGAUGCUUUGGGUGGCUUGGCGGCUGGCUGCGAGCAGCUGAAGAAACAAACGGAUCUGAUACUCGUACCCUCUUCGGAGGAUCCCACGGCACCAAAUAUUCUGCCUCGUGCUCCCAUUCCCGAAUGCCUGGCAGCCGGUCUGCUGAAGGCCUGGCCACGCACCCAGUUGGCCACGAAUCCCUGUCGUCUGCAGUACUGCACCCAGCAGAUCGUUGUCUGCCGUCUGGAUUUAAUGGCCAAGUUUUGCCGAAAUACGUUGCAUUUUCCCGAAGACACGUCGCAGAUCGAGCAGCAUUUUGCCAGAACGAUUGUGUGCCAGGGUCACUUGGUGCCCAUACAUCCGAUUGCCAUGCCCGUGCACUGGGACUACGAUCCUGCUCUGUGGUUGUAUCCACUGCCGGAUCUGAUUGUCAUGGGUGAUUCGUGCCAGAGCUUUAGCAGCAGUCAACAUGGAUGCACUGUUCUCAAUACCGGCUCCUUUGUCAAGUCCAAGUUCGCCUUCAAAGUGUAUAUACCAGCGACGCGAACGAUUGAGGACUCGGAGAUACCGGACGAUUUGGAGUAGUUAUGAUAUAGUUAACCUUAACCUUUUCAAAUAUGUGCUUACCAAACUCAAGACAAUCUACCUGCCCGAACUGUGAACUCUAAACACUCAACGCUGAAUGCUGAUCGCUGAGCUGAGCGGCGACAGGUGUCGAGCUUUUACUUCCGCUUCCGCGCGCUUUGCGGUUAGGAACUAUUAUGUUUGUCUAAUCGAUAAGAACACUAUCAUUUUUUGUUUUGUUUUUGCGGUCUUAUCAGCUGGCUUGUUGCGGUAAGUAGGCUUCUUUUAUUGUUAUGCGCAGUGCGUAGAACAAGUGGAAGCUUUGUUUGACAAUAACAACAACAACAAAAGCAGCAACAACAGCGAGUGAAACAUCAGCAGCUGGGGCAAGUUGUUUGUUUUUUCUGUAGUCGCUGUUGUGUUGUGGGCUUGACAUUUGACAAUAAAGCAAAUAAUCAUGGGAAAAAAGCUGAGCCCCCAGAAGAACUACGCCACUCGCCGCCGCAGUCAUCAUAGGAAAAUAUCAAAAACUGGAGGAAAUCCGGAACCAAAGUCAAAACAAACGAAAGCGUUGAGUUGGAUCUUCACUUAGAUGAAAGCAAAACUAAAUUGAGAUUGACGAGUUUUGUUAGGCGUUCAUAUUGUGAUUAAUCGAUUUGUAACAAAUUAAUAAAAUUAUGUCUCGCAUCUGUUUUACAUAUUAAA